CCCGCUGAACUUAAGCAUAUCAAUAAGCGGAGGAAAAGAAACUAACAAGGAUUCCCCUAGUAACUGCGAGUGAAGCGGGAAAAGCUCAAAUUUCAAAUCUGGCGGUCUCGCGGCCGUCCGAGUUGUAAUCUGGAGAAGCGUCUAUCCGCGUCGGACCGUGUACAAGUCUUCUGGAAGGGAGCGUCGUAGAGGGUGAGAAUCCCGUCUUUGACACGGACAACCGAUGCUUUUGUGAUGCGCUCUCGAAGAGUCGAGUUGUUUGGGAAUGCAGCCCAAAAUGGGUGGUAAAUUCCAUCUAAAGCUAAAUAUUGGCGAGAGACCGAUAGCGAACAAGUACCGUGAGGGAAAGAUGAAAAGCACUUUGGAGAGAGAGUUAAACAGUACGUGAAAUUGUUGAAAGGGAAACGUUUGAAGUCAGUCGCGUCGGCCGAGACUCAACCUUGCGCUCGCGCUCGGUGCACUUCUCGGUUGACGGGUCAGCAUCAAUUUCGACCGCCGGACAAAGGUUGGGGGAAUGUGGCAUCCUUCGGGAUGUGUUAUAGCCCUCGAUUCACAUACGGCGAUUGGGAUUGAGGAACUCGGCGCCUCGCGCGUCCAGGAUGCUGGCAUAAUGGCUUUAAGCGACCCGUCUUGAAACACGG
rnacentral:rRNA from 1 species